AAAUGAAUAGACGGGGGCCCGCACAAGCAGCGGAGCAUGUGGUUUAAUUCGAAGCAACGCGAAGAACCUUACCAGGUCUUGACAUCGAUGUAAACUCAUAGAGAUAUGAGGUCUUUUCGGAGGACAGAAGACAGGUGGUGCAUGGUUGUCGUCAGCUCGUGUCGUGAGAUGUUGGGUUAAGUCCCGCAACGAGCGCAACCCUUAUGAUCAGUUACUAACGCGUAGAGGCGAGGACUCUGAUAAGACUGCCGGGGACAACUCGGAGGAAGGUGGGGACGACGUCAAAUCAUCAUGCCCCUUAUGACCUGGGCUACACACGUGCUACAAUGGUGACAACAAAGAGGGGCGAGCUCGUAAGGGUAAGCGGAUCUCAAAAAAGUCAUCUCAGUUCGGACUGUGGGCUGCAACCCGCCCACACGAAGUUGGAGUUGCUAGUAAUCGCGAAUCAGAAUGUCGCGGUGAAUACGUUCCCGGGCCUUGUACACACCGCCCGU
rnacentral:rRNA from 1 species